GAUGAACGCUGGCGGCGUGCCUAAUACAUGCAAGUCGAGCGAACGGGCGAGAAGCUUGCUUCUCUGAUGUUAGCGGCGGACGGGUGAGUAACACGUGGAUAACCUACCUAUAAGACUGGGAUAACUUCGGGAAACCGGAGCUAAUACCGGAUGAUAUUUUGAACCGCAUUGUUCAAAAGUGAAAGACGGUCUUGCUGUCACUUAUAGAUGGAUCCGCGCUGCAUUAGCUAGUUGGUAAGGUAACGGCUUACCAAGGCAACGAUGCAUAGCCGACCUGAGAGGGUGAUCGGCCACACUGGAACUGAGACACGGUCCAGACUCCUACGGGAGGCAGCAGUAGGGAAUCUUCCGCAAUGGGCGAAAGCCUGACGGAGCAACGCCGCGUGAGUGAUGAAGGUCUUCGGAUCGUAAAACUCUGUUAUUAGGGAAGAACAUAUGUGUAAGUAACUGUGCACAUCUUGACGGUACCUAAUCAGAAAGCCACGGCUAACUACGUG
rnacentral:rRNA from 1 species